UAGGGAAUCUUCCGCAAUGGGCGAAAGCCUGACGGAGCAACGCCGCGUGAGUGAUGAAGGUCUUCGGAUCGUAAAACUCUGUUAUUAGGGAAUAACAAAUGUGUAAGUAACUAUGCACGUCUUGACGGUACCUAAUCAGAAAGCCACGGCUAACUACGUGCCAGCAGCCGCGGUAAUACGUAGGUGGCAAGCGUUAUCCGGAAUUAUUGGGCGUAAAGCGCGCGUAGGCGGUUUUUUAAGUCUGAUGUGAAAGCCCACGGCUCAACCGGGGAGGGUUAUUGGAAACUGGAAAACCUGAGUGCAGAAGAGAAAAGUGGAAUUCCAUGUGUAGCGGUGAAAUGCGCAGAGAUAUGGAGGAACACCAGUGGCGAAGGCGACUUUCUGGUCUGUAACUGACGAUGAUGUGCGAAAGCGUGGGGAUCAAACAGG
rnacentral:rRNA from 1 species